CCUACGGGUGGCAGCAGUGGGGAAUAUUGGACAAUGGGGGCAACCCUGAUCCAGCCAUGCCGCGUGUGUGAAGAAGGCCCUCGGGUUGUAAAGCACUUUCAGUGAGGAAGAACGCCUGGUGGUUAAUACCCAUCAGGAAAGACAUCACUCACAGAAGAAGCACCGGCUAACUCCGUGCCAGCAGCCGCGGUAAUACGGAGGGUGCGAGCGUUAAUCGGAAUUACUGGGCGUAAAGCGCGCGUAGGUGGCUUGAUAAGCCGGUUGUGAAAGCCCCGGGCUCAACCUGGGAACGGCAUCCGGAACUGUCAAGCUAGAGUGCAGGAGAGGAAGGUAGAACUCCCGGUGUAGCGGUGAAAUGCGUAGAGAUAGGGAGGAACACCAGUGGCGAAGGCGGCCUUCUGGACUGACACUGACACUGAGGUGCGAAAGCGUGGGUAGCAAACAGGAUUAGAUACCCCGGUAGUC
rnacentral:rRNA from 1 species